rnacentral:misc_RNA from 1 species
UCACCCCCUCAAGCCUUGUGCUUGGUGUUGGACGGUAUGGUGGACCCCUCCACCCGUCCUAAAGACAAUGACGGCGGCCUCGCGGAACCCCCGGUACACUGAGCUUCUUAACUGAGCACGUAUCGGAUCAAGGGCGCCCGGGGCACGGUCCUCUUCUCCUCAAGGGAAAAUUUUCUCAA